AACUCCCCUGUUGCUGCUUUUCUGGAGCCCCUCCACCAGCCCAGCACUGACAGGGAGAGGAAGCCGUGGCGGCGGUGACAGCCUAGAUGAGUAACUAAGAAUUCAAAGUGUGCCGCCUUAGAGCCAGCAAAGCAUAUUGAAGCAUUUCUGUAACCAAGUUAAACAUUUGAGGAAAGCCAACUUCAAAUUGCAAACGUUGGGCAAAUGUUGGACUGAGGUGGGUCACGGACAUUCUCGACCUAACUUUUCUGGAUUCUGAUGGCACAGAAACAGAAACAAAAGUGGGAGCACAUGCUCGGCAGGAACUGGUGGCUCUUCUACACUUGUGGUGUUAUGUGUAAACCUGCCCU